rnacentral:rRNA from 1 species
GAAUGCUGACAUAAGUAACGAUAAAGCGGGUGAAAAGCCCGCUCGCCGGAAGACCAAGGGUUCCUGUCCAACGUUAAUCGGGGCAGGGUGAGUCGACCCCUAAGGCGAGGCCGAAAGGCGUAGUCGAUGGGAAACGGGUUAAUAUUCCCGUACUUGGUGUUACUGCGAAGGGGGGACGGAGAAGGCUAUGUUGGCCGGGCGACGGUAGUCCCGGUUUAAGCGUGUAGGCUGGUUUUCCAGGCAAAUCCGGAAAAUCAAGGCUGAGGCGUGAUGACGAGGCACCACGGUGCUGAAGCAACAAAUGCCCUGCUUCCAGGAAAAGCCUCUAAGCAUCAGGUAACAUCAAAUCGUACCCCAAACCGACACAGGUGGUCAGGUAGAGAAUACCAAGGCGCUUGAGAGAACUCGGGUGAAGGAACUAGGCAAAAUGGUGCCGUAACUUCGGGAGAAGGCACGCUGACACGUAGGUGAAGUGAUUUACUCAUGGAGCUGAAGUCAGUCGAAGAUACCAGCUGGCUGCAACUGUUUAUUAAAAACACAGCACUGUGCAAACACGAAAGUGGACGUAUACGGUGUGACGCCUGCCCGGUGCCGGAAGGUUAAUUGAUGGGGUCAGCGCAAGCGAAGCUCCUGAUCGAAGCCCCGGUAAACGGCGGCCGUAACUAUAACGGUCCUAAGGUAGCGAAAUUCCUUGUCGGGUAAGUUCCGACCUGCACGAAUGGCGUAAUGAUGGCCAGGCUGUCUCCACCCGAGACUCAGUGAAAUUGAACUCGCUGUGAAGAUGCAGUGUACCCGCGGCAAGACGGAAAGACCCCGUGAACCUUUACUAUAGCUUGACACUGAACAUUGAGCCUUGAUGUGUAGGAUAGGUGGGAGGCUUUGAAGCGUGGACGCCAGUCUGCGUGGAGCCGACCUUGAAAUACCACCCUUUAAUGUUUGAUGUUCUAACGUGGACCCGUAAUCCGGGUUGCGGACAGUGUCUGGUGGGUAGUUUGACUGGGGCGGUCUCCUCCUAAAGAGUAACGGAGGAGCACGAAGGUUGGCUAAUCCUGGUCGGACAUCAGGAGGUUAGUGCAAUGGCAUAAGCCAGCUUGACUGCGAGCGUGACGGCGCGAGCAGGUGCGAAAGCAGGUCAUAGUGAUCCGGUGGUUCUGAAUGGAAGGGCCAUCGCUCAACGGAUAAAAGGUACUCCGGGGAUAACAGGCUGAUACCGCCCAAGAGUUCAUAUCGACGGCGGUGUUUGGCACCUCGAUGUCGGCUCAUCACAUCCUGGGGCUGAAGUAGGUCCCAAGGGUAUGGCUGUUCGCCAUUUAAAGUGGUACGCGAGCUGGGUUUAGAACGUCGUGAGACAGUUCGGUCC